GGGCAUCUUUUAUGACCAAAACUGUGCCUUGUGGAAAUGAACUUCACAAGUUCCUCAUCUGGGACACUGCUGGUCAGGAACGGUUUCAUUCAUUGGCUCCCAUGUACUAUCGAGGCUCAGCUGCAGCUGUUAUCGUGUAUGAUAUUACCAAGCAGGAUUCAUUUUAUACCUUGAAGAAAUGGGUCAAGGAGCUGAAAGAACAUGGUCCAGAAAACAUUGUAAUGGCCAUCGCUGGAAACAAGUGCGACCUCUCAGAUAUUAGGUAAGAUGCAUUUAAAUCUCUUUUGUGUAGAUAUUAUCCUCCAUCCCUGAAUGUCAUCCCU
rnacentral:sRNA from 1 species